AGGGCGCGGGUUUGCCAGCAGCCUCUGAAUAGGCUGUAGCUCAAACAGUAAAGAAUCUGCCUGCAGUGUGGAAGACUUGGGUUCGAGCCCUGGGUUGGGAAGAUCCCCUGGAGGAGGGAAUGGCUACCCACUCCAGUAUUCUUGCCUGGAGAAUCCCCAGGGACAGAAGAGCCUGGUGGGUUACAGUCCAUGGGGUCGCAAAGAGUCAGACAAGCCUGAGCAACUUUCACUUUCCUGGAGAAGUCUGGGGAUUUCCAAAGAUGCGUAUUCCUGAGCUGUGAUGCAGGACCACGGUGCGUCCACAUGCACUGACCGCCUCAUCGCACCAGUGGGAUGUGAGGGUCAAGGGGCUCAUGUUGCCUGCUCCGCGGUGAGUGACACACUCUUCAAAUCCAUUUUAGAAUCCGGUGUGCUGUGUGAGUCUACAUCCUGAUAAAUCCAAGUGUCCACACUCGGUGGCUUGUUCUUUCAAUGAAGUUUCUCGCCUCCAUUGUCUUGGUCACUUCAACUGCCCUUCUUCACCCAAUUCAGCUUCAUUUGCUCCUGGGAUGCUGCAUGGAGGCCUUGCCGCCAGGCUCUUCCCUCCGGAAUUCCUGGUUCCAAAUGGAGGCUAUGCCAUCUCCACUCAAGAUGGCGGCAUUGGC